GGUUAAGCGACUAAGCGUACACGGUGGAUGCCCUGGCAGUCAGAGGCGAUGAAGGACGUGCUAAUCUGCGAAAAGCGUCGGUAAGGUGAUAUGAACCGUUAUAACCGGCGAUGUCCGAAUGGGGAAACCCAGUGCAAUUCGUUGCACUAUCGUUAACUGAAUACAUAGGUUAACGAGGCGAACCGGGGGAACUGAAACAUCUAAGUACCCCGAGGAAAAGAAAUCAACCGAGAUUCCCCCAGUAGCGGCGAGCGAACGGGGAGCAGCCCAGAGUCUGAAUCAGCUUGUGUGUUAGUGGAACGGUCUGGAAAGUCCGACGGUACAGGGUGAUAGUCCCGUACACCAAAAUGCACAGGCUGUGAACUCGAAGAGUAGGGCGGGACACGUGGUAUCCUGUCUGAAUAUGGGGGGACCAUCCUCCAAGGCUAAAUACUCCUGACUGACCGAUAGUGAACCAGUACCGUGAGGGAAAGGCGAAAAGAACCCCGGCGAGGGGAGUGAAAAAGAACCUGAAACCGUGUACGUACAAGCAGUGGGAGCACCUUCGGGUGUGACUGCGUACCUUUUGUAUAAUGGGUCAGCGACUUAUAUUCUGUAGCAAGGUUAACCGUAUAGGGGAGCCGCAGGGAAACCGAGUCUUAACUGGGCGUUAAGUUGCAGGGUAUAGACCCGAAACCCGGUGAUCUAGCCAUGGGCAGGUUGAAGGUUGGGUAACACUAACUGGAGGACCGAACCGACUAAUGUUGAAAAAUUAGCGGAUGACUUGUGGCUGGGGGUGAAAGGCCAAUCAAACCGGGAGAUAGCUGGUUCUCCCCGAAAGCUAUUUAGGUAGCGCCUCGUGAAUUCAUCUUCGGGGGUAGAGCACUGUUUCGGCUAGGGGGUCAUCCCGACUUACCAACCCGAUGCAAACUACGAAUACCGAAGAAUGUUAUCACGGGAGACACACGGCGGGUGCUAACGUCCGUCGUGAAGAGGGAAACAACCCAGACCGCCGGCUAAGGUCCCAAAGUCAUGGUUAAGUGGGAAACGAUGUGGGAAGGCACAGACAGCCAGGAUGUUGGCUUAGAAGCAGCCAUCAUUUAAAGAAAGCGUAAUAGCUCACUGGUCGAGUCGGCCUGCGCGGAAGAUGUAACGGGGCUAAACCAUGCACCGAAGCUGCGGCAGCGACACUAUGUGUUGUUGGGUAGGGGAGCGUUCUGUAAGCCUGCGAAGGUGACCUGUGAGGGUUGCUGGAGGUAUCAGAAGUGCGAAUGCUGACAUAAGUAACGAUAAAGCGGGUGAAAAGCCCGCUCGCCGGAAGACCAAGGGUUCCUGUCCAACGUUAAUCGGGGCAGGGUGAGUCGACCCCUAAGGCGAGGCCGAAAGGCGUAGUCGAUGGGAAACAGGUUAAUAUUCCUGUACUUGGUGUUACUGCGAAGGGGGGACGGAGAAGGCUAUGUUAGCCGGGCGACGGUUGUCCCGGUUUAAGCAUGUAGGCUGGUUGUCCAGGCAAAUCCGGAUAAUCAAGGCUGAGGUGUGAUGACGAGGCACUACGGUGCUGAAGUAACAAAUGCCCUGCUUCCAGGAAAAGCCUCUAAGCAUCAGGUAACAUUAAAUCGUACCCCAAACCGACACAGGUGGUCAGGUAGAGAAUACCAAGGCGCUUGAGAGAACUCGGGUGAAGGAACUAGGCAAAAUGGUGCCGUAACUUCGGGAGAAGGCACGCUGGUGUGUAGGUGAAGUCCCUGCGGAUGGAGCUGAGACCAGUCGAAGAUACCAGCUGGCUGCAACUGUUUAUUAAAAACACAGCACUGUGCAAACACGAAAGUGGACGUAUACGGUGUGACGCCUGCCCGGUGCCGGAAGGUUAAUUGAUGGGGUUAUCCGUAAGGAGAAGCUCUUGAUCGAAGCCCCGGUAAACGGCGGCCGUAACUAUAACGGUCCUAAGGUAGCGAAAUUCCUUGUCGGGUAAGUUCCGACCUGCACGAAUGGCGUAAUGAUGGCCAGGCUGUCUCCACCCGAGACUCAGUGAAAUUGAACUCGCUGUGAAGAUGCAGUGUACCCGCGGCAAGACGGAAAGACCCCGUGAACCUUUACUAUAGCUUGACACUGAACAUUGAGCCUUGAUGUGUAGGAUAGGUGGGAGGCUUUGAAGCGUGGACGCCAGUCUGCGUGGAGCCAACCUUGAAAUACCACCCUUUAAUGUUUGAUGUUCUAACGUUGGCCCCUUACCGGGGUUGCGGACAGUGUCUGGUGGGUAGUUUGACUGGGGCGGUCUCCUCCCAAAGCGUAACGGAGGAGCACGAAGGUUAGCUAAUCCUGGUCGGACAUCAGGAGGUUAGUGCAAUGGCAUAAGCUAGCUUGACUGCGAGCGUGACGGCGCGAGCAGGUGCGAAAGCAGGUCAUAGUGAUCCGGUGGUUCUGAAUGGAAGGGCCAUCGCUCAACGGAUAAAAGGUACUCCGGGGAUAACAGGCUGAUACCGCCCAAGAGUUCAUAUCGACGGCGGUGUUUGGCACCUCGAUGUCGGCUCAUCACAUCCUGGGGCUGAAGUAGGUCCCAAGGGUAUGGCUGUUCGCCAUUUAAAGUGGUACGCGAGCUGGGUUUAGAACGUCGUGAGACAGUUCGGUCCCUAUCUGCCGUGGGCGCUGGAGAAUUGAGGGGGGCUGCUCCUAGUACGAGAGGACCGGAGUGGACGCAUCACUGGUGUUCGGGUUGUCAUGCCAAUGGCACUGCCCGGUAGCUAAAUGCGGAAGAGAUAAGUGCUGAAAGCAUCUAAGCACGAAACUUGCCCCGAGAUGAGUUCUCCCUGAGACUUUAAGUCUCCUGAAGGAACGUUGAAGACGACGACGUUGAUAGGCCGGGUGUGUAAGCGCAGCGAUGCGUUGAGCUAACCGGUACUAAUGAACCGUGAGGCUUAACCUU
rnacentral:rRNA from 1 species